rnacentral:rRNA from 1 species
AAUGGCUUAAUCAUCUACUCUGACAAUCUGGAGGUCAUUGAGACCAUGCAGGACGGAGGACAGUCAACGGGAGCGGCGGCGGCAAUCUUCAAUGACUGCUAUCACUAUGCUUAUGAUUUUAUCAUGACUAAAUUCGAACAUUGUAAUAGAGAGGCAAAGAAAAUAGCACAUGAACUUGCUCGAUUAGUUAGAUUUUUUUCGAUUUCGGAUUGGUUUGAGGAGCCUAUUAGUGAAAUUGUAACGUUUCUCACAAACGAGGUAUUGGUUAUUGCUAAUGAAUAA